GCCGAGAUGGCGGAACUGGCAGACGCGACGGUCUCAAAAACCGUUGAGGGCAACCUCGUGGGGGUUCGACUCCCCCUCUCGGCACCA
rnacentral:tRNA from 1 species